rnacentral:lncRNA from 1 species
AUAAUUUAUCCAUAUAUUGUUCAUAUGUAUGUAGAUAUAAGUCCAUAUAUCUUACACAGAAAGGUCCAUUAAAAUUUAUGGGGUUCUCAUGUUUCUUUAUUUCUUGGAUAAGCCAAAACAGUGAAUUGUACUCUGAUCAAAUCUAUCAAUGUGUAAACAUGGAGAAUCGGAGAUGGGAGAAGAGAGAGAACUCAUCUCUUUCUGAAUUGAUAAAAAUGAACAAAUGAAUGAACCGUCUCUUUUCUAGAACCCUCUGACCCCUAUAUCGAAUAUUACUGACCCUAAUAUCUGGGUCAGUCUUUACAAAACGGAUUGGGCCGAAACAGACCCGAAACUAAAGCAGGCCCAAAAAUAAAAUAGUAGCCCAAUGUGCAGUAUACAUACAAUAUAUUAUAGUGAUACAAUGAAAAUACAAUAAUUAUCAAUGUAUGUGUUUAGGAUUAGAGGCUAAGUAGUCUUUUAGCUCAACACCCCCCCUCAAGUUGGAGGGGGAGACCACCUUCAACUUGAACAAAAGACGAUGAUGAACAGUGCCAGGCAGAGGCUGGNNNNNNNNNNNNNNNNNNNNNNNNNNNNNNNNCAAAGGCUUGGUGAGAACAUCAGCCAACUGGUGAGAAGUGGAGACAUGAGAAAGGGAAAUCAGACCAUCAGUGAGCUUGGUACGAACAAAAUGACAAUCAACCUCAAUAUGCUUGAUCCGCUCAUGAAAAACUGGAUUCUUAGCAAUAUGGAGGGCAGCCUGAUUGUCACAAUAAACAGAAAAAGGAAAAGAAACAGAAACACCAAGAUCAGUGAGCAAACGAGAAAUCCAAGAUAAUUCAGCAACCACCUUACUGAGUGCCCUGUAUUCUCCCUCAGCAGAGGAUAGAGAGAGCACCUGCUGUUUCUUGGACUUCCAACUGACAGGCUGUCACCCAAAAUCACACAAAAACCAGUAACAGAUCUGCGAGUGUCAGGGCAUGCUGCCCAGUCACCAUCUGAAAAGGCAGUGACUGAAAAAUCAGGACUGUCAUAGUAGAAGAGCCCCAAAUCCAUAGAGCCCUUAAGAUACCUAAGAACAUGUAGAGCAGCAGACAUGUGAGGUAUUCUGGGAGCCUUCAAAAACUGACUCAAAUGUUGAAUAGCAAAACAGAUGUCAGGUCUGAUAUGUGUCAAGAAGAGGAGCUUGCCAAUGAAGCUCCUAUAAUGAUCAGGAGAAGAGAGAAGAUCACCAGAAUUAGCAUGCAAUUUGGUAUUGAGGUCCAAAGGACAGACCACAGGGGAGACAUCUACACAGUCAAACUGAUGCAGCAAGUCAGAGACAAACUUGUGCUGAUUAAGGAGCACACCACCAGCAACAGUGGACACCUCAAUGCCCAGAAAAUAGUGCAAAAACCCAAGGUCUUUGAUUCUGAAU